rnacentral:lncRNA from 1 species
UAUAUAUAUAUAUAUAUAAUGAAAGGGCAGAAGUAAAAUGGAGGUGGGUUUUUUAAUUUUUGCUAAUUUUUUUUAAUUUUUGCAAUUUAUGGGUUUGUGUGGGGAUGGACAAUUACAAAUGGCUUUUGAAGAUGUGGUGGUGGUAGUGGAAUAGUGGCCAUUUGGUGGGUUGAAUGGGCUCAACAUUGGCAUCCAUAUCCUCUCAGAAUAUCCUUCUCAUACAUAUAGUUGAUAUACCUACUUUUUUCUAUGGGUUGGGAUGUAAAUCUCCCAACAUAUUGUUACUUUGUUAGUAUUUAGUAAAUGCUUUGGCCGUCACGGAUUUGUUUUCGAUGAAAAAUGAUGAGUUUCAGGAGGUCAUUUGUCAUAGUUUUAUUGCAUCGUUAAGCAAGUAUACAAAUUUAGCAAUUUUUACAAUAGUUCAUGUGAGAUGAUAUCUCCGCAUGUAACCAUAUAACCCUAAUGAGGCUCGAUAUUUUUGUUGAAAUUUCGUUACGUAGUCCUUCAAGAAGACACAAUGAGAAAUUCUAAUACUUUUCGUAACAUUUUGACAUUUUUUAUAUAAAAAUAGACAUUAAUGACGUCACAAUAAAUUACCGACAAAUUAUUUGUGGUGUGGCCGUCAAUGUUUUGAGCAUUUGUAUAUCCUACGUCUCUUUCAUUUUUAAUUAUUACGAUUCAAUUCUUCGUUUCCAAAAUGUAAAUAAGUUCAGUUACAUAAUUGCUACAUUUAGUAAUCUCCUUUUUUUUUAUAAAAAAAUUAUAUUAUUCAUAUUCUUUAUCAAGGUAUAGCAACGUGAGACGUAUAUGAAGUCUUAUUAAAGGUGCAGUCCUUACCAACAAGAUUAGCAUGGAUCGUGAGUCUUUGUAAUAACAAACACAUCAAUUCCUUCUCUCCAACAAAUGGACAAUCCAAUAGGGAUUCACCCUAAAAAUAAAAAAUAAGGACACUACCAAUCACCAACAAGACAAACACAAACUGGAAACAAAAAACAAUUGAAGUUAGAAAUAAAAUUAGAAAAGAAACCUAGCAAACUUGGAUGCGAUUAGCAACAUCCCUAUUUAAACUGCUAAGGGAGGUUAUGAUGUUAGCCACUCCAACUCUCAGGCUCAGUGAAUUGGGACCGGUCGUCCUUGGCUGACUGGCUGAUGACGUAGGGAUGAUGUCCUGGUCGUGCUUCUUGGAAGGGGGUAGGGGUGCAACAAUGUUGGUGGUAAUCGGCAUAUCAACAGCAACGAUGGCGACGUUGGUGGCGAUGACGAUGUUUGUUGUGAUGGCGAUGUUGGCGGUAUUAGAGACGUUGGCGACGAUGGCGACGAUGGCGACGAUGGAUACAUUGGUGACAAUGGAUACAUUGGUGAUGAUGUCGACGUUGGAAGCAAACGGGUGUAGGGCGGCCAUGGUGGAUGUGGUGAGUACGGGGCGACAGCUAGUAUUUCAGGGGCCCUGGGGGGGUUCUCUCUUACGAGAAGCAACAAGUCAAUUUCUCUCCUACGAAAAGCAAUAAGGUAAAUUUUCUUUUACAAAAAGCAAUUUUUAACAAAAAUCUAAAAUAAAAAAACGAAAAAAAUUGAAGGAACUAAAAAUGACUGCGGCCAAUUGUAUAUACUUUGUUUUAACUAUACACAAUUAAAAUCUGAGAUUCGACAAUGGGUCUAAUUAUUUAGGAGAUUGGAAUACCCAGUGGGAAUUUAUCAUAUAGAUUUAUCAAACUUUCUAUAUAUAUGUUGUGAUUAUAAAAAACAGAACGGAAGGAAAAUUCCUAACCCAAAUGAAAUUGAGUUUUUAAUUCUGCUUAAUGAUAAAUUUAACUUCGUCAACUCAUUUUUACCUCCAUUGAACUCAAUUGGUCUCCAACAACAACCUCUUCCAACCUUAACUUAACUUGAUUUUUUCGAAAAUCAUAAUUCCUGUUGCGUGCCAAACCAAACCUUCAAGUUGCAUGUUUAUCCUUAAGUUUCAAAAUUCAUCAUAUUCUAAAUAUGUUGUAACACAUUUUUCUCAUUUAUUGAAUGGGACUCAUAUCAAGAUUGGAUCUGAAGUUCGAACCAAAUAUUUAUAACAUACAACUGUUACCAACAUGCAACUUUAAAUUUGACCCUGCUUGAUUCUAAUGCGUUAUGACCAUGCAUGCAUACAUGAUCAGUGAAGUAGGAGGGUUUUGUCUCUAUUAACCUAAACCUCAUAAAUCAGGAUCAAUUGCUGGUUUACUUAGCAACUUGUUCUUCAGUACGUCAAUUAUAUAAUCAAAGGAUUAGAUCGUCACGCAGAAAAACUAAUUAAACAUUCGGGAGAAGCCGCCACAUUUAUUUUUGUUACGUGAAGCACUUCACAAAUGUAUAUUUGAGAUGGUGCUCGAGAGGUUACGUAUGAAUUGAGUGUCUAUAUUGAAAAAGAAAACAAAAGAAAAGGUUAAAAUUGAUGAUAAGUUGAAGUAGCACUUGUCGCACAAACGUGUGGCUUUCUUACUAUUAUAUGUUUAAAACAAAGCAUAUGGUUGUUGCAUUUCUAUUAGCUACUUAGUUUUACCAGGUUAAUUAUCAUCAAAUUGAUUGUCCAAACUAUAAAGUUAUCAGGGUAGUAAUUUGGAGAUAUAGGAUUUGAAUUUAUUCGCACCUCAGUAUAAACGUUUUGAAUAUUCUUUAUUUUUUGUUAUGUUAGAAUCAUUUGUCCAUCAAUCUAUUAUGAUUAGUAUGAUAUUGUUUGCUUUGGGUGAAGGCCGCACGGAUUUGUUUUUGCGUUUCUUCCCAAAAUGCCUCAUAUACUAGUUUGGUUGGUGAACUCUUUUAAACUAAGCAAACUUCUCCCAGUUUAUUAAUGUGGUAUUUGGUAUCAACCAGUUGUUGGUGUAGUGGUGUCAGGAGCUGUACUUGGAAGAGGGAACCAAGGUUCGAUCCCUCACAACAACGUUGGGAGAAAAAUAAAAUCUUAACAUUGGGACCAUCUUCGGCUGGAUUAGUCGGCCAGUGGGUCGGAUACCAGAGUUUACCACAAAAAGAAAAUCAAUGUGGUAUUUGGGUUCUUUUCCCAACAUUCCCUCCCUUAAACCAAGGAUCGCUCAUCUAGCGUCCUUCUACUCCAGCGGUAUACCUUUAUGUAGACAUUUUGAACUGUUGUUAACACAAAUUGAAUACGGAACCUGACCUCUAUUUGCCAGGAAGAAUUCUGGCACAAGGAACCAUCACAAUUAAACCUUCUUUGAUCGCAGGUCACCUUAAGAAUCUCUACUAAACAAACAGCUUUUCACAUCCAUAAAAAACUUAGAUACUAGCUUAUACAUACUCCCAACUAAACUGAUAGGUGUAAGGUCUUUCACAUUCUCAACCCUUGAAAUGCAGUUUGGAGAACCUAUUCGAAGUUUCGAUGCUAAAAUGUGAGCGCCUAAUCUGGAAAUCUCGAAAACGUAAAUCCUUGAACCAGCAAACUCACCCCUCUUACCCCCCUAUUCCGCUCUCUCUCAACCUCGUCCUCUUUUAUUUUGCCUUCUCUCUCAAAGUUGUUCUGAUUUUACUUUUCGGUGUAAAUCUUCUCACUCCAAAAACUAACUAUACUUAUAAAAUACACUUAUCUAAUGUGAGAUAACCCAACAAAUUAAUAUAAAAGUUUAUAUCCAUUCAAUAUUUGAACUUCAUCAAAAAUCUUUUUCCGUUAACCGACUAUCAUCGUUAUAUUUUUAUUCCAACAAUGUUAUGUUUUCUUUGAUAUGUUUUGAUUUUAAAGUUCGUAAGUGAUCUUACAAAAAAUCUAAUUCCAACGUAUGCGAUACUAGCAACUGACAUAUCAUUCGGCAAUCAACGAAUUAAAGGAACAUAAUAAUUAAGCAUCUAUCUAUAAUAAUUAUAAUAAUUAUAAGCUAUUCUUUUUCUUUCGGUGAAAGUUUUUUGCACAUCCAAAGCUAGCUAGCAGCCGUUAGAUCCAAAAUAUAUGUCGUAACGUUGUUUCUCUUUGUGGAGUCACAGGUUCCGAAUAAAAUAUUUUAUUUAUGAUACCUCUAAAAUAUUAAAGCAUUAAUUCGAGUAAAAUAUAUUUUCCUAGAAUAAAAGCAUGAGAAUUAAGAUGGACGAUCAACUUGGAUAGGAACUCCUCCGUCGUAAAUUAGUAAAAGAAAAUGCAUUAUUGAGCUCUUUAUGCUUUAGUUUGUUAUUUCAAUUAGCCAUUAAGGAAAAUAUAAAUUGUCGGAAUAAAAAACAAGUUGUUAAGGCAACAUCUGUAUAGCGCAACUCUAUUUAGUUAGUGUUACGCUAUGUAGAAUUCUAUAAUAAUCAUUUCAUAUUAUUUCAAUUCUAUAUCAUUUUUUAAGAUUAUUUUAAAUUAAAUUAUCUCUUUCGUUCGGUAGAGUGAGAAAAUAUAAAAACAAAAACCAAACCUAUAAACCAAAAAGAAAGGGCAAGCGAUGGUGGCAUGUUUGGGCAAACUAAAGAUUGCUUUUCACGCCACAUUGUCUCUUUUUUCUCACCAUCCUUUCCUUUUCCAACAAUGACAUCAUUACUUUAUUAAUUUAUUUAUUGUUAAACUAUAAUAUAAUGUUUGGAUUAAAANNNNNNNNNNNNNNNNNNNNNNNNNNNNNNNNNNNNNNNNNNNNNNNNNNNNNNNNNNNNNNNNNNNNNNNNNNNNNNNNNNNNAAUACACUUGUCCCAAAUGAUAUUAAUGGAUAAGAGAUAUAUUAUUUAGUUAUUAUACUACUUAAAAGGUUAUAUUUUUUUAUCAGAGUAGAUCAAAAUUCUUAAUUAAUAGAAAAUAAAAAUAAAUAAAUAUUAUAUUUGUAUCUAUUUGUGAGAAUGUGCUAAAUUCAAAUUCGAUCGAGACCUUCAAAUUAUCAGAACACAAUUUUAUUAUUGGAUCAACUCUACUUUGACCAUAAAAGAUUAUACCUUUUUUAUGAUGGAUUGUAAAGGCAUAACUCACACAGAGAUGGAGGCUAUAAAUUAAAGUAUUUUUCAUAUUUACUUGAUUUGAAUUCCGCCAACUAAAAUUUUCAAUUAGUUCGAGAUAAUUAAUGUAUGGAGGAGAAUACUUUACGAUCUAUUAUGAAUUUUAAUAACGGUAAACAAAGCUUCAAAAGAUAAGGUUAUGUUCUUAGAUAAGAAACAAAAUUUAUCGAAAAAUAUAAAGGAUUCUCGAUACAAAACAGACAAUCGAUACGAGAAAGGGUUUGAUAAAGUCGGGUAUAUCUGUUUUAUUUAGUAGGAGAGAGAGUAAUGGGGUUAUUUACACGUUUGCUAGGCGAUCUAUUACUUCAACUAUAGCUAUCAUAGGUCCGGUCCCUUAUGAAUGGUUAUCGGUCAAUCUGGCGAAUACUUAUUUUAUUGAUCAUUAUUAAUAAUAUUGAGAGUUUACUGUAAAAAAAAAAUUACAAUUGAUACAAGAAAGGGUUUUCUACUUUCUAGGACGAAAUCGUUGGUCACUGAAGAGCAAAACAAUAGAAAAAAGAAACGAGCUCAAUGUACCAAAGCCAGAAAAGGUUUGGCCACACCACACCAAUCAGCUCAGAAGACCAUUGUUUGUAUAUAUUCGAUUGCUAUCUCUUCCAAAGUUCCAAUGGGAUAACAGCAGUAGCCAUAUGUGCAUAUGAAAAACGGUGAAAGAAGAAUCAUAUUCACUGCAUUGUGUGAAGAAGAAGAAGAAGAAGAAGAGUGAUCCCAUUUUUUGUCAGAAAAGUGAUAAAACCCCACUUGGUGUUAAAAGGAACGGUGUUGCUGCAAUACACUUGUGCGAGGUAAACAAAAUUUUGAUGCUUUCUCCAGAACUGUGAUUUCAUAUUUCUUCUUCUUUCGUACAAAAAGUGGUUCAACCAUUUUGUCUAAAUUUUCACCGUCCAUAUUUAUAAGUGAUAUGACAUGCAUCAUGACUUUCAUGUCGUAGUUUUGUAAUUAGACCAAUUCUUCAUGUCAUUAAUUCAAAUAAAAAUAAUGCAGCUGGAGAACCAGUCAUUUCUCAACUUGAGAAAGAAUUAAAUUUCUUGAAUGGUCUAUUUGCGAAAAUAUCUUUCAUUUCGUUGUUGCUUUCACUUGAGAUAUUUUCCUGCUUCUCUCACUUUCCUCAAACUUUGAAUCUAAGAAACCUUGUUUUCCUCUCUUCUUUGACCUUUGAUUCUGUUUCAUGACUUAUAUAUCUCAAGACUUAAAUUUUUUUUUUUACAUCAGAGGAUACAGUCAUAUCGCUAGACCCACACGUCUUCUGGUAUAUGAACAGAGUUUGCAGUUUGAAAAGAAGCCACAUAAAAGUCAUACCUAAAAAGAAGACGACACAGUCUCCAAAUCUAAGGAAAACAGAGACCACCUAAUCUAGCGCCAUGCCAAUAUGCCAUGCCCCCUUUGUGGCCGUAAACAGAACAAGUGCACUUGUACCUGCAACUGAACAUGAAGAGGUCCAAAUUACAGUACUGACAUACACGGCACAGCAGCUGUCAAGGCACUGUUGAAAUGUUAGUCCACUCCAUUGAAUUAAUUAGGCAAUAGCUUCCAUUUGCAUAUAUAUAUAUAAGCUACAGUUUCCAUCCAUCCGAUCUCACUUUUGCUAGUCCAACAGUUACAAAUCAUUUCGUCGUGCUGUUGCUAUCUAUUAUUCUUCAAGCAGAGCAAUACAUCAACAAACUAAACGUUUCAAGGUGGUGACAUGGGAAAAGAGUAACGGAACAGAUGCUAGCCUCACAGCGGUUCAAGCCAUCAAUAUUGAAAAUAUCGAUAUUUGGUUUUCAUUAAAAGAAAAAAUCUAAACUUGGUCAUAUAAGAACUUGAUCAACUAAGUAAUAGAAGAACACAUGAUAGUUACAGGUUUCAGAUAUGAAGCAUGAUGAUAAACAAUAUGAAUAAAAGUAAAAUUUACCUAGGAUGAGGAUUUCCUUCCACAACUUUCUGGCCACACUUCCGCCACCUAAAGCCAUUAUCUAAAAGAUCAAACUUCACUUUGAGUCCGAACAAACUGUUUUGUGAGGUAAAGCUACCUUGGAUCUUCCAGCAUCUGUUUGCCUGCACAUUGCACCAUGAAAAAUUUCUUGAUAAAUGCAUGUGAACAAUUAGGUACAUUAUCAGCCGCAAACUUACCUUCUAUUUAAUUCGGUGCAUUAUCAGCCGCUUCUUGUUCUGUUGCAAUCUAAUCAUCAGCUAUCAUAUAGCCACUAGGUUCCGGUUUUCUGUAGGGUCCAUUUGUCUUGAUUCCUGAUCCCUACAAUCUCUGAAUAAGCAGGUCCCAUUUAAUUUGCAUCACCAGGCAGACCUUGUGGAACUGAUACUCAUAUUUUGAUCACUGUUGUCCCUUGCACGCUUUAUGAACCUAACAUGAAGCAUUAACCAGUUUAAUGAAACUAAUAAAAUCUUUCACCAAGAUACUACUUAAGAUGUCUCUUCCUGAACCUAAAACUACAGAAAUGAUGGUACCAUAAAUCCAUCACAGCCUGCGAAGCACUAACUAAAUCCUCAACAUCAAACAACAAAUCGAAACAAGAUCAAAUGAAACACAGACAGGAUAAAAGAACUUAGCUGAAUCAACACACCACAUAACACUGGGAACCAUUGAUCCUAACGGUCAAGCAGCCAAUACACAUCUUCCUAGUCGCGGGGCACAGCAUUAAUCUAUCGACAUCGUAGAAUUCUGUUGAUCAUUCUUUCUGCACUCACAAGAUUUGUGUUUAAAAAAAGAAAAAUCUUAAGAACAGCCCCCCCCCCCCCCCCCCCAGUUUCAGUUUGCAUUCUACGUAGUUUGAAACCAAAUAUUUUAAAGCUUGCAUAUAUUUGGCCCAAUUACAAGCCUCUAUCCCAACAGUCCAUCCAGCAUCCUUGCGGACCAAACAAUUAAAACAACAAGAAAUAUAUAGUGAACAUUAUAAAUCAAUUCAAGUGAGUCCAUAAAGCAAUCAAAAUCACACCAACCGACAAAAGCAACCAAGAUAGAAGUGCACAACAUAAUCACCUGGGGUUGAAAGAAGCCAGGAGAAUUAAGAAACCGAAGGGCUCAAUCCAAGUGGAACUGUGAGCAGAGGGGGCUGUGGAACGAAGCCAGUUGUUCCAAGAUGAGCACCUUCCGUAGAGGACAAGGCGCCAGUGGAUUGUCUCAUAAACUUUGGUGGUCAUGGUCAGUUGCAACAUCAGCGAUUAGUCUCAGUUCCUGAAUCAAUCUAUCAAUUGUCUCAAAAACUUUGUUCCUGAAUCAAUGCAUCAAUUGCAUCAGUUGGUUGUCAAUUGCAGCAUCAGCGAUUAGUGUCAGUUCCUGAAUCAAUGCAUCAAUUGUCUCAUAAAUUUUGUCGGACUCAGGAUGUGACUUGUCCAAUACGGUGAAUUCAUGGACCUCAUCAUCUACCUCAAUGAAACUAGCACCAGAAGGCUUUUGAAUUCCAGCACUUUUCAUUUCUAGCCUCACAUUAGCGACAUUCACCCAGUCCCCGGCAGCAGCAAAGAUAUUUGACAACAUGCAACCAUUACCAUGCUCCGAUCGAUCAGAUUCAGCCAUGUGAUCUUGAACCUCCUUAGCCAGAUCGACCUCAUUAUGCAUUCUGCAGGCACCUAGUAGGGUACCCCAGAUAACAACAUUUGGUUCCAUUGGCAUGCUUUUCACAAGCCUAAAGGCAUCCUUGAGAAGUCCACCACGGCCCAACAGAUCAACCACGCAACCAUAGUGCUCAAUCUCAGGAGCUAUCCCAUAUUCCCUCUCCAUAUUGUGGAAGUACCCGAGGCCCUUAUUGAUUAAGCCAGCAUGAGUACAAGCACACAGAACACCUACCAAAGUAAACUUAUCAGGCUUGAAACCUUCUUGUUUCAUCCUAGAAAAGAACUGAAGUGCUAUAUCUCCAUGCCCAUUUACGGCUAACCCUUGAAGCAUGCAAUUCCAAGAGACUAAAUCUGUCUCUGCCAUCUGCUGAAAUACUUCAUAUGCCUUCUUUACCAUACCGCAUUUUGCAUACAUAUAAACCAAGGCAUUACAAACUUCAACAUGACAUUUCAAUCUAGUACUCAUAAUAGAGGCAUGAACUCUAUUCCCCAGACACAGUAAGCCAGACUCUGCACAAGCAGCCAGUAUGCUGAUAGCAGCUCCGGAAUCAAGCACUAGUCCGUCUUUCUCCAUUAAAUCAUACAAUCUUACUGCCUCCUGCCCUAGCCCCAUUUGGGCAUACACAGAUAUAACUAUGGUCCAAGGGACCAAAUUCCUAGAUGGCAUUUUAUCAAACAGCAUUCGAGCCAUUUGUAUAUCCCCUGUUUUACUAUAACCAAAAACCAUCGUGGACCAUGACACAACAUUCCUCUCUGGCAUAAUCUGAAACAACUCAAAGGCUUCAUUCAUCUCUCCGGCCUUUACAUAAGCAUCUAAAACGGUAUUCCAACUAAUGGAAUCUCUCACAGGCAUUUCAUCGAACAGCCUGCGGGCACCUCUCAAAUCUCCCGUUCUAACCAGGCCCCCAAUCAUUGUAUUCCAAGAUACAAUAUCUUUCUUAUUCAUACUCCUAAACAGCCUCAUAGCAAAUAGAAUUCCCGAUCCACCACACUUGCAGUAGCUAUCAAUCAAGGAAUUAGGCACAAAAGGAUCACUAAAAAAUCCAAGCUUGUGUAAACUGCCGUGUAUCGUUUGGACCAUGGACAGCCAAGACCCGGCACUACAGGCUUUAAGAAGAAAUGGGUAAGUGAAAUUGUCAGGAAAGAGGCCAUUUUGCUGCAUCUCAAAGAGAGCAGCGAAUGCCAUGGAAGGUUGAGAGGUGUGGACAUGAGCUCGAAUGAGGGUGUUGUACAAGAACACGUUUGGGUGGCGAACUUGGUUAAAGACCCUGAGAGCCAGCUUCAUGUGAUGACAGUGGGAGAAUGCCGAUAUCAACUUGGGAGCUACGUAGAGGUCCGUGUGGAGGUUUUGCUUAAUUAUUUGAGCAUGAACCUGCUUUACAUGGGAUAAAUUGGUACAAUUGGGAAGCUCAAGGAGUUUUUGCUCGAAUAGUCUUCUGGUUGAGACCCAGGCUGGAGCUCUCAUUGGAAUCGACAUUUGAGCGCCGUUAGACAUUAUCGUUGGUGGGUUGCAUCGCGGGAGAUAGGAGAGGGUACGGUUAAGGCGCUGGCAGACUCAUGAUUUUCUCGAAAACCUACACGAAGAUUGACAGAGAUCGAGACAACUGAGCUUCCGUUUGGGCCUCAGAGAAGAGUCUUCGCUUUUUACUUCCCUUUUGGAUUUGGAAAAGUUCACGUUUGGUAGCCUGCUACAUUUUGUUUUCUCUAACGGCCCAAUUAGCGCAUUUGGCAUUCAGUCAUAUACUCUGUUGAUUUCUCUGUGAUUAGUAAGUUCCUCAAAUGGUUAUGAUGCGUACUGAUGACAUUCUUAAUAUGAACGUUAGGUUCCCACCAUUUACAGCUUCAACUAACGCAACCAAAAAUCUUGUCCACAUUGCAAUGCCCGUGCGUAGAUUUAAGAUUUUCCUUAGUUAGGCUGUUACAAUGCAGAGACCUAUAAUCCUGAUGCUUUCCCCAUGGAUGAUUUUCACGGUUCUCUUGUUGAGUACAUGCCAAGGUCCUUAUCGAUCGUAUACUAAAAUUUUCCUUCAAUUUAUCAAAAUUCACAAAGUUAUAUUGGUUUCCUAAAUCGUUUGUGCUGAAGUACAGGUGGGUAGGUACAGAAGUCCUGAUGAGCAUCCUUUCUUCCCACAUGAUUUACCUGAACCAUUGUUGCCACCAAUACAGUAUCCCAAGGUAAGGGGUCAGGACUGUUCAGUUUGGAUAACCAUUGUUCUUUUGCUGAUUAAUUCUCUGUCUCUGUGGCUUCUACGGUUUCCUGAUUUCUAUUGAACUGUUUUCGCCAGGUGCAACAUGACAUUGCUGAUUCAGUGAAUAUAAAUAGUACCAUCUGGGGCAUGUACUUUAAUGAUCUUCUUCCAAGACUGGUCAAGGCAGGAGAUGGUGGAAACUGUGGAUCCUCUGCAGUAUACGACACCACCUGCCUCCAGGUAAAUACAUUGGUGGUUUGGAGUAAAAUUUAAUGUAGAACGUACCGUUGCCAUUAGGCCUUCAAUUUGCUUACUGUUUGUAACCAAAUUUGUGUACGAGCAUGUAAUUUGUCUACUCUGUUUGUGAAAUUUAGUCCGCGAGUUAUGCACCAUGCAUUAGAUGGAAACAUGGAAGCAAAGCAUGAUUCUUAUGACAACUCAUGAUUCUUCCUCAUUGCAGGCUCUGUCAAAGCGAAUCCAUUAUGGAAAUAUGUGGUCGAGUCUAAAUUCCGGGCGAACCCAAAUGACUACCACAAGUAACUCUGAUUUCAGCAAUGCAGUUAUCUGAAAAUAUAUACCAACAAGUGCUGUUGAUAAACUUGUUUUUACACUCUGUGCAGGACAACGAGGGAUUGAUGGCCUUGCUGUACCCAGAAGUUGAGAAAAAUGUAGUGGAGCGAGUAGAGCUGAAAGCCAGGAUUUUCGCGCAGGAAGUGACCAUGAAAGAAGGGAAAUUAGCUGAAUGCGAGCCAAUGUACAAGAUAGACCCAAGUUUGGUUGCUCAUCUUUAUGGGAAAUGGAUCAUGCAUCUGACCAAGGAAAUUCAAGUUAAGUACUUGCUGACAAGGCUUGAUGGAUACUGCUACUCUGGUCUGGCGACAUAUUGAUUGAUGUAGGUACAUACAGCAAUUGUAAAGAUGGACGUCUAAAAACUGAUUCUGCUGUGGAAGUUACAUAUUGUAUACCGCAUUCGAGCUUUAAAAGUGGAAAGAGUUUGACUUGCAAUUUCUGUGUUUUUUAAUGUUCAGCCAGCAAAGAACAUGAACAAUGCCAAGGUUUAGUUUAGGGGUUUUCAUAUCAAUAAUCCACAUGAUAUGACCGUGUUUAACAAUAUCAAUCUCGGUAGCAGGUAAGAUAAAAUACAGACCAUUCAUUACUAAAUUGGGUAUUGCACAAAUCCAUGAAAAUGUAUAAUAAAAGGCACAUAAUAAUACCAAUGUAAUUGGAGUACAACCUCUCAACAGCAUAAACAAAAGUACCCCAAAUCCAGUUCCUAGCUUAAAUUAUUAACACUACAUAACUAAACCAUCUUCACUCAAAUGCCCACUGGUUCUCCCUCCUGACUUCCUCUUCCUCCUCUGGUGUGAAGUCGUUCUUGAUGUUGAAGGUCUUGCGGAUCUCCUCAGGAGUCUUGCCCUUAAUCAUGUCAGCCACAGUUUGGCAGGUCAAAUCCAGCAAACCCUUGAUAUUGAGAUAGUUAGCCGCCUGUUGAUAAAAACCAAAACCAAUUAGAUUGUCAGCAGCACGAACUUUACAACUAGCUGCAAACCCUAUUCACUGGGAGCAUCGAUCAAUCACUAACAAAACUGGCAUUACAUUCAGUAAACAAUUGCUACUUGCUGUUAUUUUUGCGUCUUACUAAUAAACAGGGGCGAUUUUUUAGCAAACAGUCUAAACCAAAUACCAAAAUAGAGAAUUAAGCCAAUGAACUCAAAUCGACUAGUCAUUCCCAAAUAAACAAAACGAAUACCGCAAAAACCACGAACCCAUAUCCAGCACAAUCAAAUAUAUGCAAAUUCAUUGAAACGCAUCAACAGAAGCUCGUUCAACAGAUGAAUGGCUGGAAGGAAACUAAAAAACAUAAUAGAGAGCCAUUCAAAGUUUAUCAACAAUAUCAUUGUUGUAUCUAACAAAUAAGAGGCCAUUUGUAAUGAAACCUAGGGUUCUUUCUAUUCCCAGUCAAGAUCACAUAAAAUCAAUACAACAAAGGAAAAACCACACACACAAAACAACAGAGGGAAAUCAUAAAGGCUUGCAGAAAUCAGCAGAUUAAAUUCAGACAAUACAAAGGAAAACCUAAAUUUUUCAAGGGUGCUCACCAAGAUUAGGUCAAAGAGGGUCUUCUGGUCGACUUUGACGAAUUCAGCGUCCCAGGCCUUGAGAUCCUUGUUACUGUCGUCAUUAGCGGCCGCGACAACCGACUUCUCCUUCUCGUCACCGGCGGGUGACUCAACGUGCUUGCGGCAGUACUCGAUCACCUUGGCCAAGAUCUGGCUGGUGACGUUGGGGAUGGGGAUCUCGUUGUCGGCGCAGUCGUCCUCGAUCAUGUGCUUGAUCGUCUGCGAUUCGGUAGCAACCGUUUCCUCGACCUCGAACGUUUCUCCGUCCGAGGACCUCAGGACGAUCUUCUUCAAGCUCGACAUUGUCGCUGGUAGGCUGAUGAUUUUCGCGACAACUAAGACGGCAAAACCCUAAACGAAGGAGUCUAGAGAGAAUGAGACUGCUGAGCAAGGAUUGAUAACAAUGAGAGGGAGGGAGCGUUCGCCAGACCGCUUCCGUUUGGGCCUCGGAGAAGUGUCUUCUUUUCUAAUUCCGUUUUGGACUCGGAAAAGUUCACGUUUGGAAGCCUGCUACAUUGUUUUUUACUAACAGCCCAAUCAGCCCAUAAGGAAAACCCUAAAUUAGUCUUAUCUUGUUACUUGUAGACCACGUAUGAUUCAUAUGUCAUAGGUGACGUUUGAUGGAUUGGGUUAGGCAAAUGAUUUGGGUCAACCGUCAACCGAUCAAAUAUAUCCUCCUACUUAGUUUAUUAGAUCCACCAAUUAGUAGGUAUCUUUUUUGGUUAACAUGUAGUUCGACUGCCUAAACUGUUAUAAUUGGUAGUUAAAUCGUAAUUGAAUCAUAAUAAUAUCAUAAAUCGUAACAGACCAUUUUUAUGAAUGGUUUAAGAUUGAACUAAUUAAACUUUCUAUACUAACAACCAUGGGAAAUGAGACAAUAACAUAUCGAUCGGUCAUGGCAUGAUGAACAUAUCUUGGAAAAGGUUCAGUUCAUGUAUGGAUAAGUAAUCCACAAACAUUACAGCACUCCAAUAAUGAUAUCUUUUGAGUAACUUAUACAUACAUGGUUGUAGAUUGCCUUCCACUGAUGAGACAAUAUUAUACUACCAUCGUCAGAGCUCUCUACACCUUCAAUAUAUAAGAAACAAUAAUGCAACAAUGGACACCUUGGUGAAGCAGCUCUACAGGCUUUCAUCUUCUCACAACUUAGAAACAG